rnacentral:rRNA from 1 species
GUAGGGAAUCUUCCACAAUGGGCGCAAGCCUGAUGGAGCAACACCGCGUGAGUGAAGAAGGGUUUCGGCUCGUAAAGCUCUGUUGUUAAAGAAGAACACGUAUGAGAGUAACUGUUCAUACGUUGACGGUAUUUAACCAGAAAGUCACGGCUAACUACGUGCUAG